GAACCCACUUCCAUAUUUUGCUCGUUUUCCUGAAGCAGAUAUGUUAACAUCAAGCGAUCAGAUUAGACCAACAACAACUGAUGACAGUUUGGAAGUCUGGCAGAAUGUAACUACUGCCUACAAUAUUGGAAUAUUUCAUUGGCGUCCCACUGAUGCUG